rnacentral:misc_RNA from 1 species
CCGCCACUCCAACCAGCAGGGUGACAGCCUGGAAGGGAGAGACGGUAGGUAGCGUCGCCAACUCGCAUCAGCACAUCGCGGAUGGAAGCGAAGCAGCGCAGAUUUUCAGGAAAAGGAAUGAGCAAUGCAUGUAGCACCGCGGCGCGGCACACGCCUGCGUUCGGCUCCUUCACAACGGUCCGUGCUGGGGAGCCGCCAUCGCCGUCUACAUCCCGUGCGCUGGCGCGAUGGACCGUCCUCCCUGUUGCGCUUCUCGUUGUCGUCGCGGCACUCGCCCCGGGCGUCUUUCAGCCGGCCCGCGCCGACGGCGGAUUCAAUGCGGCCACCGUCGCGUCAUGCCCGUACGGCUGGUCCCUUUAUUCUCCGCCGAUGGCCAUCCCCACCACCGACAGCGCUGCGGAGGCGCACCUGUGCGCUCGUGUAUUCAUCAGGACGCCCGUGCCUGCCUCAUCCGCCGAGUCCCUCUGCACCUCGCUCUUCUCGAGCGGCAGCGACGCCCCUCUCAGCACAGAUGGCAUCACACCGUGGCCGUACGCCACUUACGCCUCCCCGCACGGAGUCGCCGUGCGCUCCGCAGCGGAGAACGCGUUCUUUAGAAGUCUGUUUUCGGACGCUUACAACGCUGGAGCGGAAGACGAUGGCGUCGUCGUGCUCGGCGGCGCAGCCGGCUACGGCGUGGUGCACUGGUACGCCGACGUGAGCAGCAACGGUGGUAACGCGCUACAUCAGCGACAGCAGAUGCCAACCCGCGCUGAGCUGCUGGAGAUGCAGAGCCCUAGUUGGUUGAACAGCUCGCGCGCAGCACACACACGAGGAGGCCUCCCGCAACAGCUCGCGCAGACGACAGCGGUGGAGGCAGCGUCGGCAGCAGAGGUCUCCGCAGGCAGCGCGGCGUACACGAACUUCGCCGCUGAUGUGGACUGGCAAAGGCACUCAGGUUUGAUCGCGAUGCGCGCGAGUGGACAGUGGACGUUGCUGACGUCUGCAGCGUCGGCGCACGCAUUCGCGUGCGCCUUCAAGGCGGACUUCACCGUCAUCCCGCCUGCCACCGCGUCCUCUAGCAGCGGCAACGCGCACGGCACCUCCUCCUCGGGCAGCUCCGACAGCAGUAGUGAAGGUGGGUCGAACUCCGGCGUUCCCCAGCGAGGUUGCGGCCACGCCAAGAGACCAGCGACGCCGCAGCCCGCGCCCCCGUGCCUGAGCGGUUGGACGGCGCUGCCGGCCUCUGUCGACACAAGUGACGGUGCUGUGAACGCCGUGUGCUACCGCCUGUUCGCUAACGCCAGCGAAGUGGGCGGCCGCCUCGGCAAAAACUUCGAAGGCGCUCGAGAGUACUGCGCUGCGGUGAAUCCGAAAGGGUCGCUGGCAAGCGUUAUGUCGCAGCAGGAGAACGCAUGGGUCGUGUCCGCGCUGCUAAGCGCGAUGGCGGCGCCGCCGACUUCGUGCACGUGCGAUGGCAGCAACAUGGCCGAAGCACCUGCCCACGCGGCCUCGGUGGUGACCAUGAGCGGCGUCACAGACAGCGCGCGAACGGUGUUCCUUGGUGGCAGCUUCAUGCGCGACAGCAGCAGCGCCGGCCUCAUCGGCAGCUGGUACGCCGACCAGUACCUGUUUAGCGCGUCCGAGUACGCGGCGGCAAGCCCGUCCAGUCCGGCGUGGCCGACGAGCACCAAUCUGUACUACUCCAACUGGGGCGAGGGAGAGCCAGCGCUGAGCUACGGUGUGGUCGGCAUCACGCCUCCGCCGCCGACCGAAUGCGACUGCGGCAACGCAUCCACGUCGUUCCCUUCUCCAGUAUCGGCUGCUGGCAUGUGGGUCGGCCUGGACCCGCGCUCCACCCAGCCUUUCCUGUGCUCCUACCUGAACGACGGCUCCAUCUUCCCAAGUGUGCCGCCGACGCCGAUGCCAAACCCGUCCUCGACGACGUCGCCGGCGCCAAGCCCGUCGGAGCACUGCCUCAGCGGGUGGUCGCACCUGGCCCUGACGAACAGCUGUUAUCGCGUCUUCCCGUCCGCGUCGACGGAGGCCGAGGGGGGCUCGGCCGUCACGGCGGCGACCAUGGAGGAGCACUGCGAACAGGUUCUGCGUGGACAAGUGGUGGUCACCAAGGUCGGCCGCGUGCGCGCAGUAGCGAUGCAGAGCAUUGCCGAGAGCGACUACGUCGGCUCCCUGCUGGGUCUCUACUUGAAGAACCUGAGGAACGCCGUAGUGGUGCCGGAAGGCGGCAGCAGCGGCAGCAUCGACUCCACCUCGUCGCCUCUCCCCGUCAGCCUUGCUGGCGUCUCCUUCAUUGACCACGGCGCUGGAGGUUUCUACCUCAGCGGCGUGCGUGAACUAGACCCGCUCCUCGCCGACCGCUUGUGGGCCGCCGGAGAGCCGGCCAGUGUCAAGGGCUGCGUCGCGGUGGACGUCGGUGGGUUGUGGUACUACAUCCCUUGCAGUAGCAGCUCGGCCAGCAUGCCAGCAAACGAGGCGGUGCGAGUACUGGCCUAUACGUGCCAGUACCGCGCCUCCGACAUCGACCCGAAGCAGGAUCUCAUCCCGGAGGUGACGGCGCAGCCGCCGAUUCCGACGAGUGGUCCCGACUGGCCCUCGGACAGCGACAGCAGCUCCCCGUGGUCGCCGCUCGGCCAGCGCGUACAGGCCCUCUCCGGCGCCGUGCACGUGGUGGUGGCGGCAGGCAGCACCGGUAUUUACACCCUUCAGGGCCCCAACGCGACCAUCCCGCCCGUCGCCAGCGUGCGCGGCCUGCACUUCUUCUUCGCCCCGCUCUCCGCCUACUACACCUACCCAGCCCCGCGGCGCGCGGUGGAUGGGACGGUGAUCGUGCCACCAGUGCAGACAGCCCCCGGCAUGUCCGUCGACGAUCUCCUCUCGAUCGCCAUCACCGGUGAGAGCUCGCCCGUUGCUCCGUGUGACGGCCAAAAAGAUCAGCCUCGCAUCGCACGCGUCCGCGCGAACGUGAUUACGGUGCGACACACCAACCACAGCGAGGUCGGCUACGUGUGCGUCUCCCAAGACGGGCGUAACUACGUGCCAACGGCCAUCACGUACGAGGUGACAGAGGUGACAGUGGACGGCUUUAUCAGCACACCGUCGCGCUCGCCGGGGGCCAACAGCACCGCCGCCUGGCUGCCGCCACUGUUCUGCGGGACCGCCAUCGAAGUUGCAACCACCUCGCCAUCCGCGGCAGCGUCGGCCUGUGCUCUGCAGCGUGACAUUGCGAUCGCCGAGCAUGCGACGGGCACCGUGCAGUUGGUGCUUCGUCGGAGCGGCGGCGCCUCUGCCGCCGGCACAGUCACGACGGUGCUGUCGCCCGAGGUUGACACCGUUGUAAGCCACAUGCGACUGUCCUCCUCAGCCGACUGCAUGGGAGAGCAGGUGCCGUUCCAGCUCCUGGACUCGGAGAUCGAGGUUCGGCACGUCUCUAGUGGGCGCUACACGCAGUCCUCUUCGCCGCUGCGCGCCGCCGACGGGCGUGGGCGCGGCAACGCGUCCCUGAAGUACAGCGUCUUCAGCUACCAGCACGCUAGCGUCCAUGCCGCGCGUCUUGCCUCGCUCGAUCCCAUCUAUAACUCUUCCGAGGUGUCCAGCGUCCUGGCUCAGUCCCAGCAUCCAGCGGAGUACUACGUGUGCGUUUCGGUGCACAAGCCGCCAUUGACGCUGACAUCCGACGUCGCAAAAAUCGGCGCGGCCUCGCGACGCCUCCUGGCGCUGUGGGGGGCCUCUGUCAACGCCGGCAUCAGCAGCAACAGCAGUGGCGCCUCCACAACGUUCUCUCUCUCCAUUGCAGAGCGCCUCGCUGCCCGCACGUCUGUCAGCCCAGCCGGAGCUGCAGUGCGCACCUACACCGCCGUCCCAGGGCUCAAGGCACACCUUGUGCCGCCGCCUGUGUCCGUCAAGGGUAUGUGGGCGUUGCCGCCGCGUCGGCUGCGCCAGCAGCGGGCGUGGUUCACCGCCACCAGCGGCUCCUCCACGGCUGCAGGGUCGCCUUGGGCGACGCUUGUACCGGCCGCCGCUGCGCGCAACCGCAGCGCGCACUACCUGCUGCGCACCCAGCACCCCUUCGACUCCACGGACCCGAUGUCGGCGUCGUCGUCCUCGACCGUUUUACCAUCCACCGUGCACCUGCACAUCCCUCAGUACAGCUCCCCGAUCAUCCUCCUUGACGGCCACAACGCCGAGCGCGGCAUGCUGGCGCUUCUCUCGCAAAACCCCAAAGACUGCAACCGCCACCAACCACUGCCGCUCGACGACCCGACGAGGGCGGCGGCGACGUGGCCGCGGCACCUCGACACGAUGGUGCCGCUAAGCACUGUCACCAUGACCGUGGAGGGAAGCGGUACCGCAGCCGCCACCGCGACGGUGGCGUACAUGCAGCUGAACCUGAACCACACAGGCCUCUGGGGCCAUCACCCGACUCGCACCGACGGCCCCGCCGCCACGCGACAGACAUGGUACGUGUGCAUCUCCUACGGCGCGCUCAGCCCCUUCCUUCCCGUGCGCCAGCCAACGCUGAGGAUCACGGUGCACCGCCAGCGCGUCGACCGCUUCCUCAUAGACUCCAGCGUCUCCUUCAGCAGCGAAGCCGUCGCGGCGGCCGAGGCAGCGGAUGCGUCGACGACGCACCUGAGCGUGAACACAGGCUUUGCCGGCAUGCUGUGGUUGCACGGCCUCGAUGUGCGGCUUUGGUCCACGACGACGCUGGACAGCGCUCAAGUGGCCUUCUCGGUCGUGUUGCCGAGCAGCGGCACGGCGGACGACACGGCGGCGCAGUGCUCCAACGCGAAGCUCUUCUACGCGCAGCGCGCGCUCGGGCUGCUGACGCCAGAGAGCUGUCGACACACUCGUGCAGCGGGCGGCAACAGCAGCGCCGACGGCGAUGCCGACUGCGAGGGCCGCGAGGCGGCGCGGGUGGGCAUGGUCGUACCACUUGGCUUCUUCACGCAGCACUCGUUACGCCGCAUGCAGCUCUGCCUCUCCGUGCCGCUGCCUUUCGCCACCAACACGACAGGCGGCAGCAGCGAGCUGGUGCCGCAGCGCCGUUUCUUCGCCCCCCUCGUCAACACCACGCUGGACGUCCGACCCAUACAGCUUCUCUACAUGGGCCGCUACAGCUCCAUCCCCGCCUCGGCAGCAGCGGUGCCACCCAACCCCGCGGCGCCUCCGUCCACUGGGGCAACUCUCAUCCGCCUCGCCGAGGGCGCCCGCGACGUGGUGCUGCCCCUCACCGGCUACGGCAUCCGCCCUGACAUGACGAUGUUCCUCUCCUUGCAGCUGUGCCACGGCGUGCCGAUCAGCAGCACCGGCAGACACGACAACCUUGUCAAGGAGCAGAGCGCCCUGAACAUCUCGGUGGUGUCACUGUACGACCUGCCGAGCAGCUACUGGGCCCCCAUGGAGGCCGUCAACGACGUGCAGGGCGAUGGCGGCAGCGAGUCCGGCAGUGCGUAUCAGCCACGCGUGUUUGUCGUCUUGAAGCACAGCGACCUCCUGAGCAAGUCGGCGGCGCAGCGCCUCUUCGGCGCCAGCACGGCGACGGCAGACGCGGCACGAAAGCCGCUGAACGUUUGCCUGUACGCCCCUGGGACGGCAACGCUUGUAUUUCCGACAAACUUCCAGCUUGUCGUUGAGCCACCGCGUGUGACGGCGAUCCGCAACUUGCCGAGCGACGCGCCGCUGCUGGCACGCGCGACGGCGCACAUGCCGCCGUACAACAGCAGCAGCUCCCCCUUGCCGCCGUCGUCGGUCGCCACGGUGGUGUACGCGGGCACCAUGGACCUCAUCGUGGAGGGUUUUGGCCUUGACGGCCCGAAUGCGUGGCUCAUGCCUGCCGUCGACUGCGGCAACGCCUCCAGCCAUCUGUGGCGGACGCCGGUGCAGCUAUCAGGCUUGCCGUCCAGCACAACCACCACAGUGCGGAUCGCGGUGGAAAGCGGCAACGUGACGAGCCCGCUCUACGCCGAGUCCACGCGCUACGUCGAUCCGCAGACGUCCUAUUCGAGCUGGUUCAUCUCGCUGCGGCAGGCGGAGACGGCUCGCGUCGGCGCCGACGUGAACGUCAGCAGCGGCACGUACGUGGAUCGCUUCCAGUGGUGCGUGCGCAUCGGGGAAACGAGCGAAGACGUGGCAGUCUCGCCGUACGUCUCGACGGGCCUACCGUACCGCCUGGUCAUCCCGGCUACCGACGGCUUCGUGGUCGAGGAUAGCCCCAUGCACCAGAACCACAUCUCCACCGUGCUGGCGUUGCCAAUGCAACACGCCACCGGCGGGCAGUGGUUUUCAAUGAAGCUGGCCGGGCCCAUCGUCGAUGUCGUCCAAGCCAUCGGCAGCCCACUCUACAUGUUCCUCGCCCCGCAAGACCUCUCCUGCUACGCCUUGAAGAACAGCUACGUGCACCAAGGCUUGCACUCCUUCGGCAGCGCCUCCUUCUCCGCUGUCAACGGCACGGCGGUGUUGCUGCCGCGCUGGCUCACGGUGCCCGGCAUCUACCAGCUGUGUGCCAGCACACUAUACCCGACGUUGGACUCCGCUGACGAGGGCAUCGAGGCGGCACUGCAGUUCUUCUCACUGCACGGGCUGCAGGUGCGGCUGGCCAACGCGGUCUACGGCGUCUCCGCGCUGAACCACACGACCAGCGUCACAGUGGAACAGGGCCAGGAGUGGGCGCUGCCCAUCUCGGGCUCGCUGCUGACGAACCGCAGCCUCGUGCGCUUCCACACCUCGGCCUUGCAGUGCAGCCAGCCGAUGGUGGAGACGAAGAGCAGUGGCGGCGCGGAGCUGCCUGACAUUCGCGUGCAGGACGCCUUCACAUGGUUUUCUCUCUUCGGCGGCAAAGACGACAACAGGGACAGCGAGGGUAGCCUUACCGCGAGUGCACACUACAUCGUCCUCUCCCAGAGCCUCAUCCGCUCCCUGGCGGCCCCGGCGACGUAUGUGCUGUGCUUCCAGCCACAGAGCCACCUCGACUGGCGCGUCGCCCCGGCCAUCUCGCUUGUCGUGGAGACGCACGUGCGCCGCCCAACGGCUUACAACUACUUUCCAGCGGACGGCAGCGAGGAUGUCGCGCUGCUGACGGCGCUGCCGCCUAGCAAGGUGGCGCUGGAGUGGAACACCGGCGAGGAGAGCAUGGUGAACGUUGUCGGCACAGCUGGCCGGCAGGUGUCACUCGCGCUGUGGUGUCUUCCAGCGCCAACGAAAAGCAUCAGCGGCGGCGUGGGCGUGGAGGAGGAUUUGGUGCCGUGCGGAGAUCACCGGCGCGUCAUGUUCGUGAAACCGAUGGACAACGACGAGGACCCGUGCUUCGUCGACGCGGAGGCCGUGCCGGAUGACGUCGUGCGCGGGCCCUAUGUACUGCAUAUCGGUGUUCUGACAAUGCCAUAUGCGCUGAGCACGCGCGGAAGCGGCAAUGGCGAUGAUGCGGUGCCGGUUAUCAUCCCGAGCAUGACGCAGCCGUGGAUCAUGUGCCUCGAGACGGGGCCGGAGCGGUGGCGCGAGCCGGUGCAACCGAUGUUCCAGCUUCAGUACACGCACGCGAUGCCGACCGGCUUCCGCGUAAAGGCCGACGACGCAAGCAACACGACGGCGCCGUUCCCAGCGCACAAGGUGGGCGUUGCAGCCACAACAAGCGCCGAGGUAGACCGUGGGACGGGCAUGCCCGCCGGCGGCAACACGACACUCAUUCUCUACGCGCAGGACAGCAGCCAGGUGGUCUACCUGAACGGCUACGGUAUCGAGCGCGGCCACCGGCUGCGGUUUGGCGCCCGCUGCGAGGAGACAAUGGAACCACCGGCAUCCUCCAGGUCACGAGGUGGAGUCAGCAGUGGCGGCGGAGCGGGUAUGGUGAACACCACCUUGAGCGACAUGGCGGACUACCACCACCGCGUUGCCGCCCGGCAACUGCUGGCAAACACGCGCCUCUACACCGACCCCCUCCCGAUAGAGGAUGACAACGGCGUCUUUCUCGUGCCGAGCACGCACAUUCUGUUGUCGGAAGAGGCCACGAGCGGCGCCGGCGGCAUCGCUGCGUGCAUCUCGACAGACGGCGGUGCCACGUACACCAAGACAAGCCUCACUCUGCGGGUGCUUCCGUCUCGACUUCGCAUCGACACGGAGACGACGCAGCGCAACUUGCUGGCGCAGAUUUUAGCAGACACCCUGCUCGUGCCCGAGAAUAGUCACGGCAGUGUCGACCUCACCGCGCUCAUCAAGGCAGGGCAGGUCAUCGGCUCCUCUACAGAGGCCGCGACGGCAUCGCCGAGUAGCGUUGGCGGCUCUGGCAUGAGGGACGCCGACAUGUAUCUUUCGCCUGGCACGCAAGUGCUUCUCUCCGCCAGCUGCAGCUACAACUCGCACGGCAUUCCGCUGCUGACCGUCUCUGUUUCGAACGUGCUGACCUUGGCGAAGCACCACACGGGCACGGUGACGCCGCAGCGGUUGCGCGUGUGCGUCCGCGACCCCGAGGCAGUCGUCGCGGCGGCAGCGGUGCUUGACAGCGGUGUGUCGGAGGACGACGGCGGCACGGCUACAGCAUUCUUCAUGGCUUCUGGAGUGUACUACCGCGUGAUAUCCGUACAGGUGGGCCGGGUCUCGUUGCACGCGUGGACACCUACGGAGGCGAUGCAGGCGGACUUGAUCGAGCAGGUGGUGGUGCGCCGUGGUGCCAGGGAAGAUCUGCUGCUACCGGUGCUGCUCAAGUCGACGGCACACGCUGAGACCGCCGUUGCGGUCGCGUCGAGCCCCGAGGACGAACUCCUCCAGCGUCUGGAGCUGAGUCCGUCCGCACUGUCGCUGCUUUCACUGACCCGCUUCUACGUGGGGCGGCCGUGCUACCGGUCCGCGCAGUCACCCGACCCCGCCAGCGCCAUCUCGCCCUACGUGUCCUCCUACGCAGGUAUGCAGCUGAACUUUGGCGCCGACAGAAUCACCGUCUCGCCGCUGCCCUUGUCCAGGCGGCAGCAGCAGCAGCAGCAGCAGCCGUCAUCGCUAUCGCUGCCAGACAGCCUGAGCAAGACCCUCGUCGCGGCGCUGCCGAGCGGCAACACCUACAGUGUCCCGCAUUACACCCUCGAGUCUCGCGGCUCUGUCUGUUUCUCCGUUGAUGGUGGGCUGCACUACCUCUCCGUUGGCAUUGCGCACUUCACGGAGAAGUGGGCCCCCACCCUGCGCGUCACUGUCAACGCCGAGGACGACGAGAAAGGCAAGGAUGUUCGUGAAGAAGCAGACGCCACCACGGCGGCGACGCCGUCGACGAACGCGAUGCGUGUCUACACCCAGAGCAGCACGACACGCCAACUUCUCGACACGCGCUAUGUCGACCCCGGCACCUUGCCGCCAUGGACUGCGACAGCCAAUCAUACGGAGGCGCACGUGCUAGCGGAUCUCGGUCAGCUGACGACGGCGAUGCUAUGGACCGGCUUCUUGGGCGAUAAUGGCUUCGCCGUGAACGGGCUACUGUACCUGCCUGCCUCCACGCACGCCGCGCCGUCUGCUGAAGCAAGUCCCUCUGGUCUCGUCCCUAGUGGCGGCCCGCAGCCACAGCCGCUCCUCUUCUCCCUCGACAACCGUCUGCAAAACAUUUCAACGAACAUGACGGUGACGGUGGCGCCCUGGUCCCUCACGUGCUACGGCGACGCUCAGCAGCGGGAGUUCUACGUGCAUCCGCUGGACGUCGGCCUCCUGGUCACCACGGCGCCGGGGCGGUGCAGCGCCGGUAUGCGAGACGGGGUGCGCGUGCGCGUGGUGCCGCUGAGCAUGGCAGAGUGCAACGACACCGUCGCGGUGGACACGUUCUACCUCUUUGACCUCGCCACCGUGCAGCCUGCGGCGUGGGGCGCAACGGCGGCGGCGGGCGAAGCCGCAUCAUCCCCGGCGCGGGCGAUGCAGCUUCCGAUAGGUCUGCGCUACACUCCCGUGGGGCUCUACGCUCUGUGUCUCCGGCAAGACCUGCCCUACGUGUCGAGCCUGCUGAGCGACAACAACGCACGUGCACCAGGUGACCUCGUUACGGCCACCUACACCGCGACGCCACUUCGGCUGCGUGUCGCGCGUAACUGGACGGUCGUGUCCGUCAGCAGCGCAACCGUCUCGAACAGCAGCGACAACGUCGUCGCCAUCGCGCAAAGCAGCUACGCCGAGCUCCCCGUGACCGGCACGGCCGUACGUGUGCGCGGCAUGCCGGUGUUGUUCGCGUUCGCCCCUCCAUCUGCGCAGAUGGUGAUGCGUCGCGGCGGCAGCGGGCCGUGGACGUGGUCGGGUGGCUGUGCGGCGGUGCCAGAGGCGUGGGACCCUGUUACAGGUAUGCCGUUGGUAUCGGCGUCGGCGUCCAGUGCCAGCGGCCCAGAUGGCUUGCUGCUCACGGCGCCGUGGCGCAACGCCCAGGGCGGCGUGCUGCGUGUGGAUGCCGCGUACGUGAGCCGAGUGGAAUGGGAUACCGCCGCUGUCGUACCAGCAGCAGCAACCAACGGCAACAGCACAACCGCGAGCCCGCGCUACGCUGACCGGCUGCGGUCGUAUGCACUCUGCUACAGCGUCGAUGGUGGUCUCAGCUUCCAGGCGGCCGGCACGGCAGGGCAGACGUCGCCGCGUACUCUCGCCGCUGUCGUCGUGCCACCCACCAUCACGUCCCUCUCCUGCAACCGCACCACCGCAGCAGAUCCGACGCAGCGUCCGCUGGGGUGGUCCGCUGACAACGCCACCGCCACGACGGUGCGUGUGCAGUACCUCUACUCGAGCCCCGGCGCGGACGCCAGCAUCACCUCAUCGCCGCAGGUGGUGACGUACGCGGCGCGGCCACCGACGUACACAUAUGCGUGGACGAGUGCCUUUGUCGGCAACGGCAUGGGUGCAGCGAGCGGGCGUCGCCUCCCUACCGUGACGACAACGGCGGCAGACGUGUCGACGGUGGCCGCAGCGGUGGCCCUCGUCCGCACAAGCCGGUACGGCGCACGCUGCGACGGUGCCGCGGCGGUGUCAGCGAACUUUACGCAGUUCUACGGCGCCACGGUGUUUGGCGCAGAUGCGUGGAACGUGUCCGCGGUGAACGCCUCGUCUCCGCUGGCAAUGCCCAUCUUCCUAAUCAACCUGCAGCACGGCGGGGUGUGGUCGACUGCCGACACGGCCGCCGUCGUGGCGUGGCGCGGGGCGCAGACGGCCAAGCGUGUCGCGCAGUUCGAGCGCAUGAACCCGGCGCUGUCGCAAGAAACAUGGGUGAACCAGACGGCCGCGUUGUGGGCGCGCUACAAGGAUGUUCCAGGAGCCCCGCUAAACGGCCAGUCCAUUCUUGGCUGGGCGACCGACGCGGCUACGGCAGCCUCGCGCAGCAACGGCGAGUCAAUUGUGGUGUGUCUCAGCAUCGACGGCGCGCACUUCUACAGCGCUGAUGUCGCCCGGGCCGCUGCUCUCUCUUCCGAGGCGCAGGCGCAGCAGCAAGUGGUGAUCGCCACUGCCAGCGCAAGCAGCAGCAGCAGCAGCAGCACCACUACCACGACCGUCACGCAUCUGUCGCCAUGGCCGCUCUACCUCCGCUCCACCGUGGGGCCGUCGAUCAGCAACGCCAGCGCGAACACCACGAUGGCGUCUGUGACAACGCAGCUUCUCUGGAUGCGAGAGAUCUCCAUGGUAAUGGAGCUGCUUGCCCGUCCCAACACCAACGCCGCUACAGCAACGGCGGCAGCUGCUUCCGGCUCGCCCUACCUUGGCUACACCUCCGCCUCCCUAGCGCUCUUCCAAGAGGCGAUGGCCGCCGCACUUGGCGUCGAGCCGUCAGUGGUUGCCGUCCAGCUGCACAUGUCGGGGUUUGUGGCCCUGCCCAAGGCGGCCGCCUCGUUGCACGCCGUCGAGUCUGUAGUCGUGGCUGCCGUGCAGGCGCGUCACCGCGCCGCAGCAAUUCUUGGCGGUCUACAGAGGGCCUCAACAGCCCUCAUGGAUAACGCAACAGCAGACCCGCAGCCGGUGCUGCUGCCGACCUACGCGCUGGUGCUCAGCAUUAUUGCGGAUGCGGUUGCCUAUGACGCUGCAGUGAACACCUCGACUCUGUCGGCCGCGCCUGACCUGCUCUACCGCGGUGUGCAGCUUCUGCGAGACAAUGUGAGCGGCCCGGCCCUUCUCGCCACCUUAGCACGCGGCCGUGACGCAGUCGCCACCGCUUCGUUGAGUUCGCUGACCGUGAACUUUACGCUGCGCAACGGCAUCGACUUGCACGCUGCGAAUGCGACCAUGUCCGCUGCGCUGCCUUGGUCCCCGGCUCAAGAGGUGGCGUGGCGACGCCUGUUCCUGAGCAUCCCGCACGCCACGCUGACCCCAGGUCCGGUACUGGAUGACAAGGAUAACGACAGCACCUCGAAGGUCAGGUGGUGGACCAUUCCGUUGCUACUCGUCCUGCCAGGGGUCAUGGUGUACGGAACGUACUACGUCUACAAGAAGUACCUGCAGCCCGCCAAUGAGCCGACGAAGGCGCCGGUCGUGGAGAACCGCCAGUAAGCCCUACCCCCCCCACCACCACCACCACGCUUUCCCUCUCCCUCUCACUUUCCUAUCCGCUUGAGGAUGGGGCGCCUCACCUUAGUGCCGCUGCGUACGCAUGUGUCGUAGAAUGGGGGGCGGGCGCGGACCGAUUCGCAGCGCGGGUCGCGUGGCGGAAACUCUUUUCCUUGUUUGCCGGUGUUGUGGUCCACUCUCUCGAACACAUACACACGCAUACGCACACACUGUCGUUGCCUGUUGUUGCUCUCGUGCAGCCCUCGUUUGCUGCUCUUCUUCCUUCUAAUGCGUAUCUCCUGUUACGCAUCUCUCUCCCUUUCAUGUUUGUGUGUGUGUGUGUGUGUGUGUGUGUGCGCGCGCAAGUGGCGGUCCUUGUCGCUCGCUGUCCUGGCGUGACUCGUGGUUGGUUCUCUUUUUCUCUGAUGCGCCCUCUCCUCCUCUCUCGCUUCCUCUCUGCACCCGUGGCACGGCUGCGGCGUGCUUCAGAAGGGCGAAUAUAAAAGACGAGUCGUGCAUUCAUCUACUUUUCACCGCAUCCUUUGCCCAUCAGACACCAGUCACGACGCGCGGUGGCCGCUAUCCUCUCCGUAGGGCGUGGUAGCUCUCCCCUCCCCUCCCUCUUAUGCUGGGGGAAGUGGGGAUGUCAACUGGAUUCACUACCUUGUCUCUGAGCACGAGUCUGUUCCACUCUGAUCAGCAACCAUCAUGCCCGCCACCGGAGCGCGACACAUGAUGGAGGGAAGGAAGGGCGGGACCCUGCCACUGUCGUCGAAUCCAUGG